rnacentral:rRNA from 1 species
GACGAACGCUGGCGGCGUGCCUAAUACAUGCAAGUUGAGCGCUGAAGGUUGGUACUUGUACCGACUGGAUGAGCAGCGAACGGGUGAGUAACGCGUGGGGAAUCUGCCUUUGAGCGGGGGACAACAUUUGGAGACGAAUGCUAAUACCGCAUAAAAACUUUAAACACAAGCUUUAAGUUUGAAAGAUGCAAUUGCAUCACUCAAAGAUGAUCCCGCGUUGUAUUAGCUAGUUGGUGAGGUAAAGGCUCACCAAGGCGAUGAUACAUAGCCGACCUGAGAGGGUGAUCGGCCCCAUUGGGACUGGGACACGGCCCAAACUCCUACGGGAGGCAGCAGUAGGGGAUCUUCGGCAAUGGACGCAAGUCUGACCGAGCAACGCCGCGUGAGUGAAGAAGGUUUUCGGAUCGUAAAACUCUGUUGGUAGAGAAGAACGUUGGUGAGAGUGGAAAGCUCAUCAAGUGACGGUAACUACCCAGAAAGGGACGGCUAACUACGUG